rnacentral:misc_RNA from 1 species
AGUCGACAAGAGAAAAAGAAAUUAAGAUUGAUUAGAGAAGUAUAAAACAAACAGCUUCCAAAACUUUGGCAAUUGUGUGAUCUAUCCACAGUUUUUUUUUUUGGGUAAUGAAGCUCAAUAAAUGAUGUUCAAUAGAGAUGCUACAGUCUUAUAUGGCAUUCAUGUUGUUUAUGAACAUCAAAGAAGAGCCAGAAUCUAAUUGGUCUAAAUACUAAUUUAUUGCAAAAAAUAAAGCAUCACCAUUCAUUCAUUUUCAAUUAAAUUCCCUCCUCUAAUCUCAAUCCUCUAUGCUGAAAGAUAAAGCAUGAAUCAAAGGAUUUAAAAUAGUUUCUCUCUUUUAUCUUUUAUUUGCUCUGGUCCACAGAUCGAGUUACACAAUGGGGUAGUGAUGUAGUCAAG